UCCUACGGGGGGCAGCAGUGGGGAAUAUUGCGCAAUGGGGGAAACCCUGACGCAGCGACGCCGUGUGAGUGAUGAAGGCUUUCGGGUCGUAAAGCUCUGUCGGAUGGGACGAAUAAAGGGUGUGUGAAUAAUGCACUCUGAUGACGGUACCGUCGAAGGAAGCACCGGCUAACUCCGUGCCAGCAGCCGCGGUAAUACGGAGGGUGCAAGCGUUGUUCGGAAUUAUUGGGCGUAAAGCACGUGUAGGCGGGUUUGUGUGUCAGAUGUGAAAGCCCUCGGCUCAACUGAGGAAGUGCAUCUGAAACUGCAGAUCUUGAGUACGAGAGAGGAGAGUGGAAUUCCCAGUGUAGAGGUGAAAUUCAUAGAUAUUGGGAAGAACACCGGCGGCGAAAGCGGCUCUCUGGCUCGAUACUGACGCUGAGACGUGAAAGCGUGGGGAGCAAACAGGAUUAGAUACCCUGGUAGC
rnacentral:rRNA from 1 species